rnacentral:rRNA from 1 species
UACGUAGGGGGCAAGCGUUAUCCGGAUUCAUUGGGCGUAAAGCGCGUGUAGGCGGCCCGGUAAGUCCGCUGUGAAAGUCGGGGGCUCAACCCUCGGAUGCCGGUGGAUACUGUCGGGCUCGAGUACGGAAGAGGCGAGUGGAAUUCCUGGUGUAGCGGUGAAAUGCGCAGAUAUCAGGAGGAACACCAAUUGCGAAGGCAGCUCGCUGGGACGUUACUGACGCUGAGACGCGAAAGCGUGGGGAGCAAACAGG